UUCUAAAUAUUUAAUAAAGUUAUUAAUUGAAUAUGAAAAGGGUUUAUCAAAGGAUAUUAACAAAAUGGUUUUAACCGACCCGUCUUGUAACACGGACCAAGGAGUCUAACAAAUAUGCGAGUAUGAAAGUGUUUUAAAACUUUUGGAUGCAAAAUGAAAGUAAAGAAUGGAUCCUUUGUGGUCUAUUUUAAGUGGGAAAAUGUUGAGUUUUAACGACUUUGCAUUUAGCACCAUUGACCGAUCUGAAUAAAUUUAUUUUGAAAGAUUUGAGUAAGAGCAUAUAUGUUGGGACCCGAAAGAUGGUGAACUAUGGGUGAGUAGAGUGAAGUCAGGGGAAACUCUGAUGGAAGCUCGAAGCGAUGCUGACGUGCAAAUCGCUCGUCAAACUUGCCUAUAGGGGCGAAAGACUAAUCGAACCAUCUAGUAGCUGGUUCCCUCCGAAGUUUCCCUCAGGAUAGCAGGAGUUAAUUAAUAACAAAAUAGACAGUUAUGUCUGGUAAAGCGAAUGAUUAGAGGUCCUGGGGAAGAAACUUCCUCAACCUAUUCUCAAACUUUAAAUAGGCAUGAAAUUAGAGUUGCUUAAACAUAUUUUUUUUAUUGAACUUUUUUUUUGAAUGGCUAACUCCUAGUGGGCCAUUCCUGGUAAGCAGGACUGGCGAUGUGGGAUGAACCGAACGUUGAGUUAAAGUGUCAGAAUAUACACUCAUAUAGAUACCAAAAAAGGUGUUGGUUGAUAUAGACAGAAGGACGGUGGCCAUGGAAGUCGGAAUCCGCUAAGGAGUGUGUAACAACUCACCUUCCGAAUCAACUAGCCCUGAAAAUGGAUGACGCUUAAGUGUAUUACUUAUACUCAACCUUCUUACUAAAACACCAUAUUACAGUAAGAAGAGUAGGAGGGCGUGAAGUUUAUUAUGAAGCCUAUGAGCGUGAGCUUGGGUGAAAUAAACUUUAGUGCAGAUCUUGGUUGUAGUAGCAAAUAUUCAAGUGAGAUCCUUGAAGGCCGAAGCAGAGAAAGGUUCCGUAUGAACAGUAUUUGGAUACGGGUUAGUCGAUCCUAAGAGAUAGGUUAAUUCUGUUUUAAAGUGGGUCAUUUUUGAUUUAAUUUAAUUUCGGUUAAAAUUAUUUUAAAACCCCAAUUCUAUCGAAAGGGAAAUAGGUUAAUAUUCCUAUACUAAGAUGAGGAUAUUUUUAUGGUAACGUUAACUGAACUUCGAUAUGCAUCAGUAAGAACCCUGGAAAGAGUUCUCUUUUCUUUUUAAUAGAUUUGUCAAAAAAGCUGAAAAACGCUAAAUGACCUGGGAAUUAGAUUAUCUAGAGAACAGGUUAAAAAUCUAAUAAAGCAUUUUAAUUUUUUAAAAUGUCCGGUGCGUUCUUAAAGAUCCUUGAAACUCGAAGGGAAAGAAUCAUUUUCUCACUUAGUCGUACUCAUAACCGCCGCAGGUCUCUAAGGUGAAAAGCCUCUGGUUAUAUUAGAAUAAUGCAGGUAAGGGAAGUCGGCAAAAUAGAUCUGUAACUUCGGGAUAAAGAUUGGCUCUUAGGGUUGAGUUAGUAAGCUUGUAAAUUAAGUUUUUACGAGGAUUUAAAAGCUACG
rnacentral:rRNA from 13 species